GCGUGACGAACUCGACGCUCCAGAUCCCACCAGCGCCGCCGGCCUUCUCACGCCACCCGGCCGCCUCCCUCGCGCCGGCCCGGGCCGCUGCUGCCUCCGCCCCGGCCAGCUCCCUGACGUGCCUCCCUACCCCGGCCAUAUCCCAACCCUAGCCGACUCCCCGCGUCACCCCUGGCCGCGUCGCCUCUGCCAUCCAUCGCCUUCCUCGCCCCUCCCAGACAGAGAUCGAUCUCGCUCUCAACCAGCCAGUGCCGAAGAGCUACGCAUAGAUGCCUAGCCGGCCGGCCAGCUAGCCUCGUCCUCCUCUUCCCAUGCCAUCGUCGUACUCCGGUCGAACGAGCCUGCUCGAUCCAUCGCCGCGCCACGUACGGGAGCUACCGAUGGACGCCGCGCAAGCGCCCGCGGGAGUGGUGGUCAACAUCGAGGCGCUCGCCGGACGGAGAGGGAGCAACGCUCCCGCUGCGCCCAAGGACCAAGCAUGGAAAAAGUUUUUGUGCCACGUUGGACCAGGAUUUAUGGUUUCCCUUUUCUUCCUUGAUCCCCGGAACUCAGCUAAAUGAAGCUAAAUAGCUAAUAUGUCCCAUAGAUAUUUGAUGAAUUGCUCAAGUGUCGAUUUAUGCAGUGGUAUUCUCGCAGCAGCUGCUGCUGAAGGCUUCUCUUUUUAAUUGUGGCACUGCAUCUGCAAAUGGAGUAUGCUUAGACACUUGAAGGACAACAUGAUGACGAAGAUAUGGCCAUCCAGGAACUGGAAAAGUCCUGCAUCACCACCAGCAAAUGGACAGGAAGGGAAGUGGCUUCCAAAUCAUUAGCUGCAACAGCUUAAAGCCUGAGUCUGUUGAAUUGCCCACCUUUGGCCCAAAGAAUUCUAUGCAUGAAUGCAAGAAGAGAUACCACGAAGCAGGAGUCACAUUUAUUCUACCAUAUUCAAAAUUGUCGGUUUCUCUAUUCUCCAAUUCUCAUUAUUGAGCAGAUGAGAUUAAUAGUAGCAAUGUCAAUCAAAUAUCAGGAUAGUUAAAUAGAUUAUGUCUCAGCAUUUAUGAAAACAAUCUGAUCGCAUCACUGUAAUAUGUGUGCUCCAUCAACAAGACUGAUUUAGUGUCAAGCUGUUGUGGCGUAGCAGUCUCAUGUCCUACUGGCAUAAGCAUAGCUCAACAGGAACUCGAGGGGGCUAAGAAGAAGCUGAGGCAAAAACAGAAAGAAAAAUGUGCUCAAGGCUAUCAAGAAAGAAAAUAAAGUACUUAUCUUUGCCGAUGCACCUUUUUUUCCUUCUCUAAGAUAUGUACUCAGUGUAAUACUUAUUUAUAUAUGACUAUUUGGUUUACAUGAAAAAAAAUUAUUUCUCCA